CCUACGGGAGGCAGCAGUGAGGAAUAUUGGUCAAUGGGCAAGAGCCUGAACCAGCCACGUCGCGUGAAGGAUGAAGGAUCUAUGGUUUGUAAACUUCUUUUAUAUGGGAAUAUAUUGAGGAACGUGUUCCUUUUUGUAUGUACCAUAUGACUAAGCAUCGGCUAACUCCGUGCCAGCAGCCGCGGUAAUACGGAGGAUGCGAGCGUUGUCAGGAUUUAUUGGGUUGAUAGGGUGCGUAGGUGGUUAAUUAAGUCAGCGGGGAAAGUUUGUGGCUCAACCAUAACAUUGCCUUUGAAACUGGUUGACUUGAGUAUAUUAGAGGUAGGCGGAAUGCGUGGUGUAGCGGUGAAAUGCAUAGAUAUCACGCAGAACACCGAGGGCGAAGGCAGCUUACUAAACUAUAACUGACACUGAAGCACGAAAGCGUGGGGAUCAAACAGGAUUAGAUACCCGAGUAGUC
rnacentral:rRNA from 1 species